UUAUUUUUUUUAGUAAAAUGAGUGUGUGAUUGAAGCUGCCGUUGUUGUUGGAGAUGGGAUGGUGGCGUUAGUCUUUUUAAAAUGCUGCUGUAUUUUGUAAUGUAUAUUUACUUGAAGAAAUGAUGUUCAAAAACAACUUCUUGCGCACUUGAUCAAUUUAUGACUAUUGAUUGGCAACAACCCUGAAGAAGAGGUUCAAAUUAGAACCUCUGCAUAUGUUUAGGUUUAGUCUAGAAAAUUGUUAUUAAGUAUGAACAUGUCCAGAGGUAGUUUCUACCAACACCAAUGAUAUAGGAUAAUGCCAACCUUAGAACGUAACAAUAAAACUUAACAGGAUAUAUUUAAACCAAAAGCAAAUUAUGUCCACUGAAAACGAACCACAAAAGAAGAAAUCUGCUAUUGUAAAAAAUGAAUAUUAUGCUGUCGAUAUUCGUAAAUACGUGGUUCAUGUACGAAAAGUAUCAACAUAAAUUGACACGAAGAUUUACUCCAAUGGAAUCACUAGCUACCACUGGCGAAACGUAAUAAUGUACAGAUGAACACUGAGGUAAAAAACGACAUACUUGAUGCAAAGAUAUAUAACACAGAAGAUCUAGGUGACACGUGGACUUUAUCGAUAUAUGCACAUGCGCAUCAAUACAUAAUAUAAUCGUUGGCCCUUAAGCAGGAUUCUAUGAAAAAAAAACUGUAAAAAGUUAGCACAACUAAUGCUUAACGAUCACGAAACUAUGAACAAGUACAGUGCAGAGUGCGAGUUACCUGUGAAGUAGAAGUCGAGUGUAAAGUUGGAGGCCAGAAUGUCCCAGUACAUACACGAGCGCCACCAGUCACACAGGAUGCCUCGGAUCACCUGGCGGCCCAUGUACAUCUGAAAGAGAUUUUUCAAGGCACAAUUAAUGUCGUAACAUCAUAUUUUUGGCCUUGGCGAAAUGAAGUGCCUGUUCCGUGUUGUAGAAAUGGGGUAUACCAGCGCCGGUCAUAUCCAUUCCGAACAACAGUUGGUUGUCGUCAUACUUCAGAACCGUGGCAGUCACCGUCUGAGAUAAAAGAGUGCUCAUCUUUUUCCUGCGGAAAUAGCGUGCUGCGACAUUUGAGAUCCGCGACUUCGUGUUGCAUGUUCAACUUAUAAAUCGAUCUUCUUCUGUUUAUUGUUUACUUUGUCAAGCGCGUUAUUGUGAAAUCGACGGUUUUGUUGAUUUUCUGAUUGUGUUCUUUUUUUUGUACAAAUAUUCUCAUCUCAGUGAAAGACUAUUUAGUGAUGUUUGAAUUAUGUCUAACUUGUGUUCGUUUUUGUUUGUGUGUGCAUAUGGACCAUCUUUUCAAUUGCGUAAUCAACAUUUUUUAAACUCUGCAUAUUGCUGGGAGUACAUGCAAUUGGGAGGACGGCAUUUUUGUUCUUUUCCUGGUGUA